rnacentral:tRNA from 1 species
AGCCCUGUAGUGCAGCGGUCAAGCAUCAAUGCCUUUGGAGCAUUGGACCUCGGUUCGAAUCCGGGCAGGGCUA